CGCUCAGGUGCGAAAGCGUGGGAAGCAAACAGGAUUAGAUACCCUGGUAGUCCACGCUGUAAACGAUGUCGAUUUGAAGGUUGUUCCCUUGAGGAGUGGCUUUCGGAGCUAACGCGUUAAAUCGACCGCCUGGGGAGUACGGCCGCAAGGUUAAAACUCAAAUGAAUUGACGGGGGCCCGCACAAGCGGUGGAGCAUGUGGUUUAAUUCGAUGCAACGCGAAGAACCUUACCUACUCUUGACAUCCAGAGAAUUUAGCAGAGAUGCUUUAGUGCCUUCGGGAACUCUGAGACAGGUGCUGCAUGGCUGUCGUCAGCUCGUGUUGUGAAAUGUUGGGUUAAGUCCCGCAACGAGCGCAACCCUUAUCCUUUGUUGCCAGCACGUAAUGGUGGGAACUCAAAGGAGACUGCCGGUGAUAAACCGGAGGAAGGUGGGGAUGACGUCAAGUCAUCAUGGCCCUUACGAGUAGGGCUACACACGUGCUACAAUGGCGUAUACAAAGAGAAGCGAACUUGCGAGAGUAAGCGGAACUCAUAAAGUACGUCGUAGUCCGGAUUGGAGUCUGCAACUCGACUCCAUGAAGUCGGAAUCGCUAGUAAUCGUAGAUCAGAAUGCUACGGUGAAUACGUUCCCGGGCCUUGUACACACCGCCCGUCACACCAUGGGAGUGGGUUGCAAAAGAAGUAGGUAGCUUAACCUUCGGGAGGGCGCUUACCACUUUGUGAUUCAUGACUGGGGUGAAGUCGUAACAAGGUAACCA
rnacentral:rRNA from 1 species